rnacentral:misc_RNA from 1 species
GAUAAGAACGCAGCGAAAUGCGAUAAGUAGUGUGAAUUGCAGAAUUCAGUGAAUCAUCGAAUCUUUGAACGCACAUUGCGCCCCUUGGUAUUCCAUGGGGCAUGCCUGUUCGAGCGUCAUUUGUACCUUCAAGCUUUGCUUGGUGUUGGGUGUUUGUCCCGAGGGACUCGCCUUAAAGUAAUUGGCAGCCAGUGUUUGGUUUUGAAGCGCAGCACAAGUCGCGAUUCAAGGCUACACGCCCGCUUCCACAAGCCUUUUUUCACUUUUGACCUCGGAUCAGGUAGGGAUACCCGCUGAACUUAAGCAUAUCAAUAAGCGGAGGA